AUAAAGACUUUAUUAAAAGUCACCUAACAGUAGGAUAGCAAAUACAU
rfam:Pteropus alecto contig107153, whole genome shotgun sequence.